AGAACGAACGCUGGCGGCAUGCCUAAUACAUGCAAGUCGAACGAACUCUUCGGAGUUAGUGGCGCACGGGUGCGUAACGCGUGGGAAUCUGCCCCUUGGUUCGGAAUAACAGUUGGAAACGACUGCUAAUACCGGAUGAUGACGAAAGUCCAAAGAUUUAUCGCCAAGGGAUGAGCCCGCGUAGGAUUAGCUAGUUGGUGAGGUAAAGGCUCACCAAGGCAACGAUCCUUAGCUGGUCUGAGAGGAUGAUCAGCCACACUGGGACUGAGACACGGCCCAGACUCCUACGGGAGGCAGCAGUAGGGAAUAUUGGACAAUGGGCGAAAGCCUGAUCCAGCAAUGCCGCGUGAGUGAUGAAGCCUUAGGUUGUAAAGCUCUUUACCGAGAUGAUAAUGAACAGUAUCGGAGAAUAAGCCCCGGACUAACUCCGUGCCAGCAGCCGC
rnacentral:rRNA from 1 species